rnacentral:tRNA from 1 species
GGGACGUUAGCUCAGUUGGUAGAGCAGCGGACUUUUAAUCCGUUGGUCGCUGGUUCGAAUCCAGCACGUCCUACCA